GGGGGAUUAGCUCCAACGAUAGAGCACCUGAUUUGCACUCAGGGGGUUGUGGGUUUGAAUCCCAUAUCCUCCACCA
rnacentral:tRNA from 1 species